rnacentral:rRNA from 1 species
UGUCUAAGAUAAGCAACUAUACUGUGAAACUGCGAAUGGCUCAUUAAAUCAGUUAUCGUUUAUUUGAUAGUACCUUACUACUUGGAUAACCGUGGUAAUUCUAGAGCUAAUACAUGCUAAAAACCUCGACUUCGGAAGGGGUGUAUUUAUUAGAUAAAAAACCAAUGCCCUUCGGGGCUCACUGGUGAUUCAUAAUAACUUAACGAAUCGCAUGGCCUUGUGCCGGCGAUGGUUCAUUCAAAUUUCUGCCCUAUCACCUUUCGAUUGUUGGAUAGUGGCCAACAAUGGGUUCAACGGGUAACGGGGAAUUAGGGUUCUAUUCCGGAGAGGGAGCCUGAGAAACGGCUACCACAUCCAAGGAAGGCAGCAGGCGCGCAAAUUACCCAAUCCCGACACGGGGAGGUAGUGACAAUAAAUACUGAUACAGGGCUCUUUUGGGUCUUGUAAUUGGAAUGAGUACAAUUUAAAUCCCUUAACGAGGAACAAUUGGAGGGCAAGUCUGGUGGACAUUGGCGUCCUGAGGUGUUAAAACCUCUUAUUGCUGACGCCAGAAAGAGAAGAACUUCGGUUCUACUAGUCGACUAUACUACAAGCUUUGGGUGUAUAGCGGCAAGACAACCUGGAUCGGGGGAGGCUAAGGGCGCAAGCCUAUGCUAACCCCGAGCCGAGCUACUGGAGGGCAACCCCCAGAUAGCCGGUGUAGAGCGCGGAAAGGUGUCGGUCAUCCUAUCUGAUAGGUGGCUUGAGGGACGUGCCGUCUCACCCGAAAGGGUGUUUCGAAGGAGGAGCUCCCAAAGGGCAAAUCUUAGAAAAGGGUGUAUACCCUAUAAUUUAACGGCCAGCAGCCGCGGUAAUUCCAGCUCCAAUAGCGUAUAUUAAAGUUGUUGCAGUUAAAAAGCUCGUAGUUGAACCUUGGGCCUGGCUGGCCGGUCCGCCUCACCGCGUGCACUGGUCCGGCCGGGUCUUUCCUUCUGGGGAGCCGCAUGCCCUUCACUGGGUGUGUCGGGGAACCAGGACUUUUACUUUGAAAAAAUUAGAGUGUUCAAAGCAGGCCUAUGCUCGAAUACAUUAGCAUGGAAUAAUAGAAUAGGACGUGUGGUUCUAUUUUGUUGGUUUCUAGGACCGCCGUAAUGAUUAAUAGGGAUAGUCGGGGGCGUCAGUAUUGCGUUGUCAGAGGUGAAAUUCUUGGAUUUACGCAAGACUAACUACUGCGAAAGCAUUCGCCAAGGAUGUUUUCAUUAAUCAGUGAACGAAAGUUAGGGGAUCGAAGACGAUCAGAUACCGUCGUAGUCUUAACCAUAAACUAUGCCGACUAGGGAUCGGGCGAUGUUAUCUUUUUGACUCGCUCGGCACCUCACGAGAAAUCAAAGUCUUUGGGUUCUGGGGGGAGUAUGGUCGCAAGGCUGAAACUUAAAGAAAUUGACGGAAAGGCACCACCAGGCGUUAGCAACUCUGCGCCGAAUAGCAGCCCGGAAGGUCCGUGGUGCCUAUAACAUGCUAGUCUUGGGCUCACCCCCAAGGCGACACCCCUAAAUUGCGGGAACUCCCUAAAGCUCUCGCUACCGCCCCGGCGCCGAAAGGCUGCAGGCACCGGGUUAACAACCACGGGUAUGGUCAAAACGCGAGAGAUGUCACAAUGGGUAAUCCGCAGCCAAGUCCCUACCGGCCCGUACGGCCCAGGGGAAAGGUUCAGAGACUAAAUAGGGAUGGGCGAUCUGGUAUCGCUUAAGAGAUAGUCCGGCGGUAGGUCAACACCUACGACGAAUAAACGGGAGCCUGCGGCUUAAUUUGACUCAACACGGGGAAACUCACCAGGUCCAGACAUAAUAAGGAUUGACAGAUUGAGAGCUCUUUCUUGAUUUUAUGGGUGGUGGUGCAUGGCCGUUCUUAGUUGGUGGAGUGAUUUGUCUGCUUAAUUGCGAUAACGAACGAGACCUUAACCUGCUAAAUAGCCAGGCUAGCUUAGGCUGGUCGCCGGCUUCUUAGAGGGACUAUCGGCUCAAGCCGAUGGAAGUUUGAGGCAAUAACAGGUUAACCUUCACAGGCCUGUAAAAGUGGUCGUCCGCUAGUCCAACGUUUUAAUCUCUGUGAAGAAGUCUUCUUCUGCCGGGCAGAGAGGUGUCCUCGCGACGCCAUACGUGGGCAACACUACCUGGAACAGGAAACGCCGGAGUAAGUCUGCUCAGCAGCAUUGGCCGAUCCUGUGGCGAGUCAAGGUAACGCUUGACCGUCGCAACGCGCGCUAAGGAGUGGGUAUCGAACCCCUAGAGGGUCGAUAUUUGAGGUACGUGCUAUCCGCUGGGUAACCAGUCUUAUGCGUCAAGGCCCGGCAGGCCGAAACGUGUAGGGGCACCACUUCGGGGGUGGUGCUGGCGUCGAAUUGCUGUGAUGCCCUUAGAUGUUCUGGGCCGCACGCGCGCUACACUGACAGAGCCAACGAGUUCAUCACCUUGCCCGAAAGGGUUGGGUAAUCUUGUUAAACUCUGUCGUGCUGGGGAUAGAGCAUUGCAAUUAUUGCUCUUCAACGAGGAAUGCCUAGUAAGCGCAAGUCAUCAGCUUGCGUUGAUUACGCCCUG